ensembl:lincRNA
UGUGGGGAUUUCUUUACAUAGACAUGACAGAUUAAAUUUUUGGCCACUGGUUGUGGGCUGGGACUAAAAUUUUAAACCCUCUUAUCCUGUGGUAGGUUUUUCUGGUAACUAGCCCCCAUCCUAAAGCCCCACUUCCUGUGAGUCAUCUCAUUAGCAUACAAGGACAGUAAACUCCAAGGGUUUUAGGAGCUCUGUGCCAGAGAAUGAAGACGCAGUCUGAGAACUAAUGAAUGGGUGGCCCGGCUCACCAAUACCCGCUAGGACUCUGUUAAGCUUGGGUGUUCUGUCUCUGAAACUCAGGGCUCUUUGGGCUUAGAGAAAACUCAUACCAGAAGCCACAGUGUCACACUCAAUUAUAAGUAACACUUGCCAAUUGAUCUCCUAGGUCCAAGGACCAGUAGACAAGGAGCCACCAUCCUGACAAGGCAUGGACCCCAACCAUCAGGAGGAAAUAGGCUGCUUCAUAUGAGGCCAGAAUGUUUUUGGAAGCUCAUGGCCCUGGAAGCCUCUCGCUGUUUACAGGGAGUCAACAUAGGAACAAGCCAACCAUCAAAGGGGGACAAAGGUAAGAGGAUCCCAACAAACGGAGCCACAGUCUUGGUGACAGUAUUGCCCUGGUGCUCAAGUCACACCUAGCGACUGACCUGCCUCUUGGGCCUUUCGAUUAUAGGAAUAGGAGACGAUAAAUUCCUUUUUAUUAUUUAAGCCGGUGCAGGGUAGGAUUUUUCUCACUUGCAGCUAAAAUCAUUUUAUCUUAUACAGCAGUGUUAAGGGACACUUGGAAAACCUGAUGUUACUGUUUGGAGAACACUCUGGCAAUACUUAUUGAAAAAUCUAAAUAUGGGCAUAACCUUUGACCUAACAAUAUAAACUUAUAAGAACGUACUGAUUCAUCCCACAAAUAUUUAAGCACUGACUAUGGGCCAAACACCAUUCUGGGAGUCAGAGAGUUACUCGUGGACAAAAUAAAAUCCCUUAUGGAACCAGCCUUAAGUAGAAACCAGCCAUGUGUAAAAACAUUUAUUUACAAGAGUGUUAAUUUCAUUGCCUUUUAUAGGAGGGAAUAAUAGGAAAUAUAUAUAUAUGUGACCCCUCCCCAAAGAAAGUUGCUUAAAUAAAUGUUAGGGGAUUGACAUGAUAAAAUUCUAUUUAAGCAUUUAUAAUGAAUUUCAGAAAUUAUUGAAUGAUAAGAAAAAAUGUUUCACCAUUUAGGUCAAAAAGCUAGUGGAAAUACAAUGUAGAGCACAACUCAUUUUUGCAUACUCACGUGGGUAUAUUUACAUACAGGAAAGGCCAGAAUUAGUUACUCUGAAAUGUCAUUGGUUGUUUUAAGGAGUAGAAUUGUGAGUUAUUUUUAUUUUCUUCUUUGUAUAUCUCAGUGUUUUUUCAUAAUUUUCUGUCAUGAGUAUGCCUUUCCAUUGUUAUUAUAGAAAACAUUCAUCUUACAAAAUAAUCUCAAGUAGUUUAAAUUUAAAAGUUAGAAAAAAUACCCCUUGUGUAUUAACCCAAGGCUAUCUUCUAAAUCUAAGAUGGCUCUCAAUAUAUGACUUUAUAUGACGAGUAUAAGUAGCAUCCUCCUUCUGCGAUGUAUCUACUCAGGGAAAACUAUCAAAGCAUUUUCUAACACGUGUGGUUUUGUUUUCGUUGUUGUUUAUCUUUGUGGUACAGGGGAUCAAAUCCAGGUGCUUGGGCAUACUAGAUAAGCGCUGUACUAUGGAGGCCUGCCCCACCCAAAUCUGCACUUUGUAAUGGAGUAAACCAAAGAAGAUCUUGAAGCUAGUUCCUGGUAUCUAGACAAGGCCCUCAGUCUCCUGUCUCAGGAUCCAAGGCUGUUUCCACAGUUCUGUGCCCUUUGCCCAGCACCCAAGCAACAUCAUUAGAAUGAAUCUGUCAUCGAGAGAGAGGUCAUUCAAUACAUUUGGAAAGUACCACCAGUUCCCUAAAAAUAACUUGGCAUCUCAGAGAUUCACUGCUUAAGGACUUAAAACCAAAGUACACCCUGAAUUUAAAAUGCAAAGAAGCACACUGUAGGUUUAAAAUGUUUUCAUUGUCUUCCAGAUUUAUAUAACAGAAUCUAAAAUGUGCUUUUACCUAAAGCUAUUUCUACCUAGGCUGGAGGAACAUGUUUGCAACAUGACUUGGGUAAUGAACUUUAUUGUCUCAUCACAUUCCUUUUUGCUCUUGCCUUGACUUCCUAAACCACCUUACUGUCCUCUUGGGUUGGGAAUGUUUUAUAUAAAAGAAGCAUUAUGACUUUAAUGAUUGAAUAACAAUUUCAAAUUUCCAGUUCAGUCUACUUACCAGCUUAGAGAUGAUUUAAUGCAGCAUGAAUAGGUUUCCCUCAGAAAUGGAUAUGAUCUGCAUUGACUAGUUUUUCAAAUACCUCUUCUUCCACACAUUAAAAUACCAGCAGAAAACUGGGCGAGGGGUGUGGCUUGGGUAGGGCACUUGCAAGACCCUGGGUUCAAUCUCCAGCUUGGAAAAAAAUUUAAAAAACAACUAAAAUACAUUCAGAACUAUGACACACAUGUGUGACCUGCUACUGCUAUAAGAGAAUCACCAAACCACCCACAGGACUACAGCUGACAGGACUUCUCCAAAGACGUGGAAAGUUGUGGUUUUCACAUUAGAAUAUCCACAAAGACUCUCAAAGGAAACUAAAACAUUUUCAUAUAUUUGGUUUUCUUUUUUUAAAAAAAAUAAGUACCUGGCCUAAAUAUUCUGCCAGUAGUUCCAUCAAGAAUGUAAAUAUUUCUUUAGUGCUAAUUAUGUAUAGAACUCUGUUGAGGGCUUCGGUGAUCUGCACUAGAUCUAGCGACACCCAAGAC